rnacentral:rRNA from 1 species
GAUGAACGCUGGCGGCGUGCCUAAUACAUGCAAGUCGAGCGAACAGACGAGGAGCUUGCUCCUUUGACGUUAGCGGCGGACGGGUGAGUAACACGUAGGUACCCUCCCUAUAAGACUGGGAUAAUUUCGGGAAACCGGAGCUAACACCGGAUAAUAUUUCGAACCGCAUGGUUCGAUAGUGAAAGAUGGCUUUGCUAUCUCUUAUAGAUGCACCUGGGCGGUAUUAGAUAGUUGGUCAGGUAACGGCUUACCAAGGGAACGAUACGUAGCCGACCUGAGAGGGUGAUCGGCCACAUUGGAACUGGACCAGGGUCCAGACUCCUACGGUAGGCCGCAGUAGGGAAUCUGCCGCAAAAGGCGAAAGCAUGGCGGAGCGACGCCGCGUGAGUUAUGAAGGUCUUCGGAUCGUAAAGCUCGGUUACUGGGGAUGAACAAACUUGGAAGGAGAUGUGGAGGGCGUGACGGUACCGAAUCAGAAAGCAACGGCUAACUACGUG